AUUAACAUUAUUUGGAUACUGGAGAGUUCCAAGGGAAUCCUGUAGUUCCCUGCCACCAAGAUCGUCGUUUCUGUGUCUUAAGAGGAAAUGAGGAACCGGAGGAUUUGGCCAUGCUGAUAUUUCCAAAGGGAGCGCUUGUCAGUGCCUAAACCAAAAUUCUUGGACACUUCAAUCUUAGAGAAUUAGUGCCACCAGCUCCAGCCACAUUGAAUGGAAUACUGGAGACUCCCAGGACUUUUCUUGGUCCUCUGCUUGUUGAUUUAAUGUGUUGCCUCUGACCCUUGUCGUCCACUCCCUGUCAUGGACAGCGGAGGGCACAUGCAGCCCCGCCGUCCUGUGUGACUCUGUGACCAGGUGUUUUGUUUUAAAAUUGUCCUUCCAAAUCAACAAGUCUUUGAAAAUUAGGGAAAAAAUUAAAU